rnacentral:rRNA from 1 species
CUAGUAAUCGCGGAUCAGAAUGCCGCGGUGAAUACGUUCCCGGGUCUUGUACACACCGCCCGUCACACCAUGGGAGUCGGAAAUGCCCGAAGUCUGUGACCCAACCUUAGGGAGGGAGCAGCCGAAGGCAGGUCGGAUGACUGGGGUGAAGUCGUAACAAGGUAGC